CAGAAUAGACCUCACUCGAGAUGCUAGCUAAAAUACGUAAAAAGGUGUACAAAGUAAACAAGAGAGCGGGAGGUACCAACUCCCGGUGGAAAAACCUGAAGUAUGCUUUGAUGCGCCCAAAUUUUCCUGAAGCUUCGUGGAAUGAGAGGAUAAUUGUGAUCUAUUACUUAAAACAAAGUCACCAUUGAAGUUGUCAAGGAGUUGAAGCUUCCUCUUUCAGUCCUAUAUAUACAACUCCGCUGCUUUCUUUCCCUUGUUCUUUUUGGGGCAUGACAUUAGUGUUUUCUUUUAUCUACGUACACAUGGCGCUGCAUCCAAGGUGGUAAUCUCAACCUUUUUGAGAUCAUUUUCCCAUUUGAUGCAAAAGGUUCUACCAGUUUUUA
rnacentral:lncRNA from 1 species